GACGAACGCUGGCGGCGUGCUUAACACAUGCAAGUCGAACGGAAAGGCCCUGCUUUUGUGGGGUGCUCGAGUGGCGAACGGGUGAGUAACACGUGAGUAACCUGCCCUUGACUUUGGGAUAACUUCAGGAAACUGGGGCUAAUACCGGAUAGGAGCUCCUGCUGCAUGGUGGGGGUUGGAAAGUUUCGGCGGUUGGGGAUGGUCUCGAGGGUUAUCAGCUUGUUGGGGGGGUAGUGGCUUACAAAGGCUAUGACGGGUAGCCGGCCUGAGAGGGUGACCGGCCACAUUGGGACUGAGAUACGGCCCAGACUCCUACGGUAGGCAGCAGUGGGGAAUAUUGCACAAUGGGCGGAAGCCUGAUGCAGCAACGCCGCGUGCGGGAUGACGGCCUUCGGGUUGUAAACCGCUUUCGCCUGUGACGAAGCGUGAGUGACGGUAAUGGGUAAAGAAGCACCGGCUAACUACGUG
rnacentral:rRNA from 1 species